AUCACAAACGACAUNNNUGUGUUAAUUGUGAUAACGUAAGGGAAAAAACUGAUAUUACCUUACUANAAGUGUUGUCCAAAACUGGUGCCAGAAGACUCGGUAAGACCAGAAACGCAAACGUUAAUCGUCUUAAUCAGGCGUAAAGGGUUUGUAGGCUGCUUUUAAUAUUUCUAAAUAAAAAAGCUCUGAUUUAAUCAGUUACAUAGAAAUACAAUAAAAGCUAGAAUCUAAUAGAGGAUAAGACAAAUAAUACUUAGAGUAGGGAUGAUAUCCAUAGAUACUAAGGGGAAUACUAAAGGUGAAAGCUUUUAUCUACUAAAGAUUGACGCUGAGAAACGAAGGUGAGAAUAGGAAAUAGGAUGUGCNACUUGAAAAGCUUAAUAUUAUAUAGUACUUAAAGUACAUUAUCAUUCGUCUGAUAANACCCAACCUAAACAUGCAUUAACCAGUAAUGGUAUUGUGUGAAGCUUUGGGGUAAAAUUAAUUAAAGGUUAUCCACCUUAAUAUUACUUUCUUAUUAA
rnacentral:rRNA from 1 species